UACGUAGGGUGCGAGCGUUGUCCGGAAUUAUUGGGCGUAAAGAGCUCGUAGGCGGCCUGUUGCGUCUGCUGUGAAAGCCCGGGGCUUAACCCCGGGUCUGCAGUGGAUACGGGCAGGCUAGAGUUCGGCAGGGGAGACUGGAAUUCCUGGUGUAGCGGUGAAAUGCGCAGAUAUCAGGAGGAACACCGGUGGCGAAGGCGGGUCUCUGGGCCGAUACUGACGCUGAGGAGCGAAAGCGUGGGGAGCGAACAGG
rnacentral:rRNA from 1 species